CCUACGGGAGGCAGCAGUGGGGAAUUUUGGACAAUGGGGGCAACCCUGAUCCAGCCAUGCCGCGUGCAGGAUGAAGGCCUUCGGGUUGUAAACUGCUUUUGUACGGAACGAAAAGGUCUUUUCUAAUAAAGAAGGCUGAUGACGGUACCGUAAGAAUAAGCACCGGCUAACUACGUGCCAGCAGCCGCGGUAAUA
rnacentral:rRNA from 1 species